rnacentral:rRNA from 1 species
UACAGAGGUCUCAAGCGUUUGUUCGGAUUCAUUGGGCGUAAAGGGUGCGUAGGUGGCGCCGUAAGUCAGGUGUGAAAUCUCGGAGCUCAACUCCGAAACUGCACUUGAUACUGCGGUGCUCGAGUACUGGAGAGGAGAUUGGAAUUUACGGUGUAGCAGUGAAAUGCGUAGAUAUCGUAAGGAAGACCAGUGGCGAAGGCGGCAUCCUGGACCGGCAUUGACGCUGAGGAGCGAAAGCCAGGGGAGCAAACGGG